rnacentral:rRNA from 1 species
UGCAAGUCGAGCGAAUGGAUUGAGAGCUUGCUCUCAAGAAGUUAGCGGCGGACGGGUGAGUAACACGUGGGUAACCUGCCCAUAAGACUGGGAUAACUCCGGGAAACCGGGGCUAAUACCGGAUAAUAUUUUGAACUGCAUGGUUCGAAAUUGAAAGGCGGCUUCGGCUGUCACUUAUGGAUGGACCCGCGUCGCAUUAGCUAGUUGGUGAGGUAACGGCUCACCAAGGCAACGAUGCGUAGCCGACCUGAGAGGGUGAUCGGCCACACUGGGACUGAGACACGGCCCAGACUCCUACGGGAGGCAGCAGUAGGGAAUCUUCCGCAAUGGACGAAAGUCUGACGGAGCAACGCCGCGUGAGUGAUGAAGGCUUUCGGGUCGUAAAACUCUGUUGUUAGGGAAGAACAAGUGCUAGUUGAAUAAGCUGGCACCUUGACGGUACCUAACCAGAAAGCCACGGCUAACUACGUGCCAGCAGCCGCGGUAAUACGUAGGUGGCAAGCGUUAUCCGGAAUUAUUGGGCGUAAAGCGCGCGCAGGUGGUUUCUUAAGUCUGAUGUGAAAGCCCACGGCUCAACCGUGGAGGGUCAUUGGAAACUGGGAGACUUGAGUGCAGAAGAGGAAAGUGGAAUUCCAUGUGUAGCGGUGAAAUGCGUAGAGAUAUGGAGGAACACCAGUGGCGAAGGCGACUUUCUGGUCUGUAACUGACACUGAGGCGCGAAAGCGUGGGGAGCAGACAGGAUUAGAUACCCUGGUAGUCCACGCCGUAUACGAUGAGUGCUAAGUGCUAGAGGGUUUCUGCCCUUUAGUGCUGAAGGUAACGCAUUAAG